AUUCUGCCCAUGCGGGGAAGGAUGAGAAGCUUCGACCAAGGUUCGGCUCUCGAGCAAGUCAUGAGAGCCGUUGCCGCAGGCAACGACCUCGAAGGGCGAAGCUAUGCAGCGCGCUGAGUAAUCCUUCCCCCACCACCA
rnacentral:sRNA from 1 species